AAAUAACCAGUUUCCCUGAAUCCCUUCACUAAAUAUUACCCUGCUCACACCCCAACAGAUCGUCAGGUCCCAAAUAUCAUUUGUCUCCAUUCACUCCUAUAUAACACGCUCACACACGCUUGCUGGAAGUCCAAACCCCUCGCCCACAACAUCUCCUUUACCCCCUCCCUCCAACCUUUUCGAGGACGACCCCUACCCUGCCUUCCUUCCCCUAAAGAUUUAUAUGCUCUCCAUGUCAUUCUACUUUGAUCCAUUCUCUCUAAAUGACCAAACCACCUCAACAAACCCUUUUCAGCCCUGUGACUAAUACUUUUAUUAACUCCACACCUUCUCCUAAUUUCCACACUCUGAAUUUUCUGCAUAUUUACACUACACAUUGCUCUUAGACAGGACAUCUCCACUGCCUCCAACCGCCUCCUCAGUGCAGCAUUUACAAUCCAAGCUUCACACCCAUAUAAGAGUGUUGGUACUACUAUACUUUCAUACAUUCCCUUCUUUGCUUCCAUAGAUAACAUUUUUUGCCUCCACAUAUACCUCAACGCACCACUCGCCUUUUUUUCUUCAUCAAUUCUAUGAUUAACCUCAUCCUUCAUAAAUCCAUCCGCUGACAUGUCAACUCCCAAAUAUCUGAAAACAUUCACUUCUUCCAUACUCCUCCUCCCCAAUUUGAUAUCCAUUUUUUCUUUAUCUAAAUCAUUUGAUAGUCUUAUCACCUUACUCUAUUCUAUGUUCACUUUCAACUUUCUACCUUUACACAACAAAUUGUGCCUUUCUCUAACCUGUAUACUACAAGAUAUACUGUAGUACAUAAAAGAAUAGACAUUGAAGAAACUGAAGUGUAGAUUUUGAAAGAGAUGCCCAGGAAAAGUGAUACACAAGUACAGCAGUGCAAAUGAUUCCACUAAGAAGGUGGGUGCUACCUCACCCCCCACAAAAAUGAAUAACGGUAGAAAUAAUAAUGACGACGACGACGACGACGACGACGAUGAUGGUGAUGGUGAUGAUGGUGAUGAUGAUGAUGACGACAUAACUGAUGAAGCAAUGAUAACAACAACCAAGGCAGUGGCAACAACAAUGACAACAAUGAUGAUGAUGAUGAUGAUAAAGAUGGCAAUGGUAAUGGUGAUGAUAAUACGUAAUGGUAGUGAUGACAAUGAUAAUGCAAUUUAGAAACCAGUGAUCUUUCUUUUGU